GUAGUAUUAGUAUAUUGAAUAUUUUGUCUUUCCAAGUCAAAGAGCUGAAUUUUUUCAGAUACUACA
rnacentral:tRNA from 1 species